UACGUAGGGGGCAAGCGUUGUCCGGAAUCAUUGGGCGUAAAGCGCGUGUAGGCGGUUCGGUAAGUCUGCUGUGAAAGUCGGGGGCUCAACCCUCGGAUGCCGGUGGAUACUGCCGGGCUAGAGUACGGAAGAGGCGAGUGGAAUUCCUGGUGUAGCGGUGAAAUGCGCAGAUAUCAGGAGGAACACCAAUUGCGAAGGCAGCUCGCUGGGACGUUACUGACGCUGAGACGCGAAAGCGUGGGGAGCAAACAGG
rnacentral:rRNA from 1 species